rnacentral:rRNA from 1 species
UACGUAGGGGGCUAGCGUUGUCCGGAAUCAUUGGGCGUAAAGAGCGUGUAGGCGGUCCGGUAAGUCCGCUGUGAAAGUCGGGGGCUCAACCCUGGAAUGCCGGUGGAUACUGUCGGGCUCGAGUCCGGAAGAGGCGAGUGGAAUUCCUGGUGUAGCGGUGAAAUGCGCAGAUAUCAGGAGGAACACCAAUGGCGAAGGCAGCUCGCUGGGACGGUACUGACGCUGAGACGCGAAAGCGUGGGGAGCAAACAGG